AAUACAGAGGGUGCGAGCGUUAAUCGGAAUUACUGGGCGUAAAGCGUGCGUAGAAACCUCGUUAAGUCAGGUGUGAAAUCCCGGAGCUCAACUUCGGAACUGCACCUGAUACUGAAACGCUCGAGUGUGGUAGAGGGUAGUGGAAUUCCCGGUGUAAAACUGAAAUGCGUAGAUAUCGGGAGGAACACCAGUGGCGAAGAAACCUACCUGGACCAACACUGACGCUGAGGCACGAAAGCGUGGGGAGCAAACAGGAUUAGAUACCCUGGUAGUCCACGCCCUAAACGAUGGACACUAGCCGUUGGGGAGAUUGAACUCCUUAGUGGCGAAGCUAACGCAUUAAGUGUCCCGCCUGGGGAGUACGGCCGCAAGGUU
rnacentral:rRNA from 1 species